rnacentral:lncRNA from 1 species
CAAGUAGCAUGCCACUAGGUAAGUUUGUUGAAAAUACAUCCUAAUAUUUAUGUAUGAAUUAUUCUACUCCUUUUACUCCUUUGAUUGUCUUUUCUACCAUUGAGGCAAGAUUUGGAACUACUACAUAUAUCGAUUGCUUAUGUCAUAUUUGUUUCUUCAUAAUGGUCAUUCCUAUGAGUAAGCUCUUAGCCGUAGAUCAUUUUGCUAUUUUACUCAAUAUAAAGGUAUGAAGAAUCACCAUACAUUCUCCAUCUUUGAAAGAGAUUGUCUUUACUAGCCAAUCGACUUAUUUAUUCUUCACUUCUAGCCAUAGCAUAUCAAGGAUAAUAUCAUAUCUAAGCUUUGUUACU